AUUGAACGCUGGCGGCAGGCCUAACACAUGCAAGUCGAGCGGAUGAAGGGGGCUUGCUCCUGGAUUCCGCGGCGGACGGGUGAGUAAUGCCUAGGAAUCUGCCUGGUAGUGGGGGAUAACGUCCGGAAACGGGCGCUAAUACCGCAUACGUCCUGAGGGAGAAAGUGGGGGAUCUUCGGACCUCACGCUAUCAGAUGAGCCUAAGUCGGAUUAGCUAGUUGGUGGGGUAAAGGCCUACCAAGGCGACGAUCCGUAACUGGUCUGAGAGGCUGAUCAGCCACACUGGAACUGAGACACGGUCCAGACUCCUACGGGAGGCAGCAGUGGGGAAUAUUGGACAAUGGGCGAAAGCCUGAUCCAGCCAUGCCGCGUGUGUGAAGAAGGUCUUCGGAUUGUAAAGCACUUUAAGUUGGGAGGAAGGGCAGUAAGUUAAUACCUUGCUGUUUUGACGGUACCAACAGAAUAAGCACCGGCUAACUUCGUG
rnacentral:rRNA from 1 species